CGGCGGAGGCUACUGCUAUUGGGGUUCGAUUAAGCCAUGCAAGUUGAACGAUUCUUCGGAAUCGUGGCGAACGGCUCAGUAACACGUGGAUAACCUACCCUUAGGACCGGUAUAACCCUGGGAAACUGGGGACAAUCCCGGAUAGGUGAUUUUUUCUGUAAUGAUUUUUCAUUUAAAUGCUCCGGCGCCUGAGGAUGGGUCUGCGGCAGAUUAGGUAGUUGGUAGGGUAAUGGCCUACCAAGCCGGUGAUCUGUACGGGUUGUGAGAGCAAGAGCCCGGAGAUGGAACCUGAGACAAGGUUCCAGGCCCUACGGGGCGCAGCAGACGCGAAACCUCCGCAAUGCGAGAAAUCGCGACGGGGGGACCCCAAGUGCCACUCUUAACGGGGCGGCUUUUCUUGAGUGUAAAAAGCUUUUGGAAUAAGGGCUGGCAAGACCGGUGCCAGCCGCCGCGGUAACACCGGCAGCUCUAGUGGUAGCCAUUUUUAUUGGGCCUAAAGCGUUCGUAGCCGGUUUGAUAAGUCUCUGGUGAAAUCCUGUAGCUUAACUGUGGGAAUUGCUGGAGAUACUAUUAGACUUGAGGUCGGGAGAGGUUAGCGGUACUCCCAGGGUAGGGGUGAAAUCCUGUAAUCCUGGGAGGACCACCUGUGGCGAAGGCGGCUAACUGGAACGAACCUGACGGUGAGGGACGAAAGCCAGGGGCGCGAACCGGAUUAGAUACCCGGGUAGUCCUGGCCGUAAACGAUGUGGACU
rnacentral:rRNA from 1 species